rnacentral:rRNA from 1 species
UACGGAGGGGGCGAGCGUUAUUCGGAAUUAUUGGGCGUAAAGGGCGCGUAGGCGGCUGGGCAAGUCAAAGGUGAAAUCCCUCGGCUCAACUGAGGAACUGCCUUUGAAACUGCCUGGCUUGAGGCCGGGAGGGGGUAGCGGAAUUCCCAGUGUAGCGGUGAAAUGCGUAGAUAUUGGGAGGAACACCAGUGGCGAAGGCGGCUACUUGGACCGGUUCUGACGCUGAUGCGCGAAAGCGUGGGUAGCAAACAGG